rnacentral:miRNA from 1 species
AUCCAUUCAUUAGUUGGUGGGCAUCUAGGCUAUUUCUAAUUUCUGACUAUUAUGAAUAGAACUGCAAUGAACACAGAUGACGAAAUAUCUCCUCAGUAGGCUGUAGAG